CCUACGGGAGGCAGCAGUGGGGAAUAUUGCGCAAUGGGCGGAAGCCUGACGCAGCGACGCCGCGUGGGGGAUGACGGCCUUCGGGUUGUAAACCUCUUUCAGCAGGGACGAAGCCGCGAGGUGACGGUACCUGCAGAAGAAGCACCGGCCAACUACGUGCCAGCAGCCGCGGUAAUACGUAGGGUGCAAGCGUUGUCCGGAAUUAUUGGGCGUAAAGAGCUCGUAGGCGGUCUGUCACGUCGGCUGUGAAAUCCCGAGGCUCAACCUCGGGUCUGCAGUCGAUACGGGCAAACUAGAGUAUUGCAGGGGAGACUGGAAUUCCUGGUGUAGCGGUGAAAUGCGCAGAUAUCAGGAGGAACACCGGUGGCGAAGGCGGGUCUCUGGGCAAUAACUGACGCUGAGGAGCGAAAGCGUGGGGAGCGAACAGGAUUAGAUACCCUGGUAGUCCACGCCGUAAACGUUGGGCGCUAGGUGUGGGGCUCGUCCCACGAGUUCCGUGCCGCAGCUAACGCAUUAAGCGCCCCGCCUGGGGAGUACGGCCGCAAGGCUAAAACUCAAAGGAAUUGACGGGGGCCCGCACAAGCGGCGGAGCAUGUUGCUUAAUUCGAUGCAACGCGAAGAACCUUACCUAGGCUUGACAUGCACGGAAAUCUUCCAGAGAUGGGAGGUCCGUAAGGGCCGUGCACAGGUGGUGCAUGGUUGUCGUCAGCUCGUGUCGUGAGAUGUUGGGUUAAGUCCCGCAACGAGCGCAACCCUCGUCCUAUGUUGCCAGCACGUCAUGGUGGGGACUCAUAGGAGACUGCCGGGGUCAACUCGGAGGACGUGGGGGUGACGUCAAAUCAUCAUGCCCCUUAUGUCUAGGGCUGCAAACAUGCUACAAUGGCCCGGUACCAAGGGCUGCGAUACCGCGAGUGAGCGAAUCCCAAAAGCGGUCUUAGUUCGAUUGGGUCUGCUACUCCACCCCAUGAAGUUGAAGUCCCUAGCAAUCGU
rnacentral:rRNA from 1 species